rnacentral:lncRNA from 1 species
AUCCUUGUAAAGGAUCUUCACUAUAUAAUAAUUCUAACUUAUCUUGGAUUAUUUUUACUUUAUCUAUAGAGAAUAUAAUUAAUUCUAUUUUAGGGUCUUCUUCUUUUAUAUUUUCUAAUUUUUGUGUAAUUUUUUCACUUCCUUUUAUCCAUUCUGUUGUCUUUCGUUUUUUGUUAUUUACUCUUUUUGCUCCUAUUUUUUGUUUACAUGGUGUUGUGAACCACCAGUGUGUUUUUGUUAUUAUAUGUGGGUAUAAUUUUUCUAGAAAUGGCAUU